ACGCGUCCUCUAUCUUCUAGACAGGCAGCCCUUCCCGGGUCCCGUGACACAGCGGAGGCAAUGGCAGUGCGAGAGUAACAAUGUAAGGAAGUGAGGGAUCACCUUACCAGUGGAAACCACAGGAAUCCCAGGCAGGCAGAAAGUAAUCAGGAAAAUUGCUUUUUGGCAAAGUGACGUGGGUCAGCUCUCUCGGCCUCAAAAAGAGCGUUCUGUGAUCUGCAGUUAUGGGAUGGCUGGUUCGCAAUGAGUGUAAAGUACAAUUUUGCUUUACUGUAGUCAUCUGCUUGUGCCUGGUACUUCAUGGGAGUGAAGAAGAACUGGGAGAUUUAGUUUCUUCACCUAAGAUCCUAAAAUUGGCUGUGAUCUGAAGUUCCUUGAUUCUUUGAUUGAAAGCAGCAGAGACCAACACCAGUCUUGAGCCACCAUGUCAAGCAGUCCAACUACCUUGCUGGAGAGACCAUGUGGCCAGAUCCUAGCAACUCCAACCGUCUCAACCAAAGUGCCAGAUCUGAUGGAGCCAUCUUGGAAUGCUGCCUUAAGACCAACGUGCUGUGAGGAAGCCCAAGUUAUCAUAUGGAGAGGCCACAUGGGAGAGAAUAAAGGCAUCACAGCUGACAGCCCCAGCCUAGCUGCCAACUGAAUACACCCAAGACAAGGAUAGAAGAACUGUUUAUUCAACCUACAAAAAUCAUAAAAAAUAAUAAAUCACUGCUAUUUUAAACC
ensembl:lncRNA